AGUUGCGAACGGGUGAGUAACGCGUGAGGAACCUGCCUCAAAGAGGGGGACAACAGUUGGAAACGACUGCUAAUACCGCAUAAGCCCACGGGUCGGCAUCGACCUGAGGGAAAAGGAGCAAUCCGCUUUGAGAUGGCCUCGCGUCCGAUUAGCUAGUUGGUGAGGUAACGGCCCACCAAGGCGACGAUCGGUAGCCGGACUGAGAGGUUGAACGGCCACAUUGGGACUGAGACACGGCCCAA
rnacentral:rRNA from 1 species